rnacentral:rRNA from 1 species
UACGGGGGGGGGCAAGCGUUGUUCGGAAUUACUGGGCGUAAAGGGCUCGUAGGCGGCCAACUAAGUCAGACGUGAAAUCCCUCGGCUUAACCGGGGAACUGCGUCUGAUACUGGAUGGCUUGAGUUUGGGAGAGGGAUGCGGAAUUCCAGGUGUAGCGGUGAAAUGCGUAGAUAUCUGGAGGAACACCGGCGGCGAAGGCGGCAUCCUGGACCAACACUGACGCUGAGGAGCGAAAGCCAGGGGAGCAAACGGG